rfam:Macaca mulatta chromosome 11, whole genome shotgun sequence.
GGAUGUUGGAGUAAACAUCUGCCACCCUGUUGAUCACCAGAGUCGAUCUGGCUGGUCUGGCUGGCUACGUGGGUGUCCCCUUCCUCCCUCACCACUCAGUGUGCAUUCCCCCCAAAGCUGCCCGCUCAGUCAAAGAAGACGACUUUUACUGAUAGUCGGCUUGUAUUAGAGCGCACAGAAUGUUGUAAGGGUGGUGUCAAGUUUUAAUGUUUAACGUGUCAAGUUUAUUUUAUUUUUUCAUGAUAAAAAUAAUAAAUACUCAUUGAAGUAUAUGUGAAAAACAUAUAAAAGUUAAAGGAUAAAUAGCAGGUAUAUUU